GCCCACGGCCAUGCCUCCCUGAACAAGCCCAAUCCCAUCUGAUCUCGGAAGCUAAGCAGGGUUGGGCCUGGUUAGUACUUGGAUGGGAGACCACCUAGGAAGACCAGGUGCUGUAGACA
rnacentral:rRNA from 1 species